rnacentral:rRNA from 1 species
GAUGAACGCUGGCGGCGUGCCUAAUACAUGCAAGUCGAGCGAACAGAUGAGGAGCUUGCUCCUCUGACGUUAGCGGCGGACGGGUGAGUAACACGUGGAUAACCUACCUAUAAGACUGGGAUAACUUCGGGAAACCGGAGCUAAUACCGGAUAAUAUAUUGAACCGCAUGGUUCAAUAGUGAAAGACGGUUUUGCUGUCACUUAUAGAUGGAUCCGCGCCGCAUUAGCUAGUUGGUAAGGUAACGGCUUACCAAGGCAACGAUGCGUAGCCGACCUGAGAGGGGGAUGGCCCUACUGGGACUGGAACACAGGCCCAACCCCUUGGGGGAGGCAACGUAGGGAAAUUUUCCCAAGUGGGCGAAAGCCUGACGAAGACACCCCGCUGGAGUUAUGAAGGCUUUGGGAUCAUAAAACUCUUUUUUGGGGGAAGAAAAAAGUUAUAAGUAACAUUGAACUUUUGGAGGGAACCAAACCGAAAAACCGGGGCUAACUCGGA